GCUAAGGUCGCCUCUCGUGGGGCUGCAUCCUCUGCGGCGAGGCCGCUCUCCGUUCGGUUCGGGUCACCACCCGUGCCGUCCACCUCCUCUGCGCACCGUUUCUCGAUUCGACGGGCCUUCUCAUCCGAGGAUCGAGUUCAGAGUGAAAUAAACGGACUCAAGCACGAGAUUGGGGAGCUAAAACUGGCGAUGCAGUGCAGUGAGGAAAAGCAGAAGACGUUUGAAGCAUCAAUGAGGUCAGAAAUCCAUCAAUCGGAGGUUGCAAACCUCAAGACAACUUUAACCCUUAUCGGUCUCCUGUGUGGAUAUGCCUCAGUCAUGAUGUGCCUGUACCAACUCACUCCGUCUGAGGCUGAGGCCCCCGGCAUUGUGCUGGUCUAGUUCUUCAGAGGCAACUCAAGCUCUGCUGGGAACUUCAAAACCUUUCGCAACUGGCCAGAGCAAUAUUCAGUUUUGUAUUUUGUUACCAAUGUUACUGCUCAGAAGUGAACGUCUCUGCACAUUAUGGAACGGCUCGGCCAUUUUUAGGUUACCUCCCUUAGAAGCUCUGAAGUGACUGUGUGGCUGGUGAACCUUCUGUGUCCAGUUAAUAUCUGCCAAAUCUGACGUGAAGAGUAAUUCUGGUCAAAUUUAGUGCUGUUUUAGACUAAUGUGCUUGCAUCUCUUGAGUUUAUUCAAAUCGUGAAAUGUUGAAUGAAGUUUAUUUCUAGUAGUCUAUAUUGGA